AAUCUGAUUUUUGGAACCUGG
rnacentral:miRNA from 1 species